GUAGACGUAUCUAGUGAGCUGCCCAGCCAAGAGGUAAAGGAGGCUCCAAGCACUGACCUUUCAGGAAAUGAUGAAGAUGUGAAGAUGGAAGAGGCCCCUGCUGCUCAGGGACAGCUAAACACUGAUGCAGCUUAUGGUGGUGAAAAUGCAAAACUUGGUGAAGCUGCCUUGGAGCUGCAGUUGCCACCUUCAUCUGGUGAGGCAAUAGUAGAGAUAUCUAGUGAGCCACUCAGCCAAGAGGCAAAGGAAGCUGCAAGCACUAACCCUCCAGGAAAUGAUGAAAAUGAGCUGCAAUUGCCACCUUCAUCUGGUGAGGCAAUGGUAGAGAUAUCUAGUGAGCCACUCAGCCAAGAGGCGAAGGAAGCUGCAAGCACUGGCCCUCCAGGAAAUAAUGAAAAUGCAAAGGUGCAAGAGGCUACUGUUGCUGCUCAGGUACUUCUGAGCACCGAACAUGCUCCUGAUGGUGAAACUUCAAGACUUG
rnacentral:lncRNA from 1 species